GGGGCACUAACUCAGCUGGUAGAGUGCGACCUUUGCAAGGUCGAAGUCAGGGGUUCGAGCCCCCUGUGCUCCA
rnacentral:tRNA from 1 species